GAUGAAGAACGCAGCGAAAUGCGAUACUUGGUGUGAAUUGCAGAAUCCCGUGAACCAUCGAGUCUUUGAACGCAAGUUGCGCCCGAAGCCAUUAGGCCGAGGGCACGCCUGCCUGGGCGUCACACGUCGUUGCCCCCCCAUCUACUCCUUCGGGAUUGCGGGGGGCGGAUGAUGGCCUCCCGUGCGCCUCGCCGCGCGGUUGGCAUAAAUGCCAAGUCCUCGGCGACGCACGCCACGACAAUCGGUGGUUGCGAAACCUCGGUUGCCCGUCGUGUGCGGUCGUCGCGCAUCGAGGGCUCGAAAAAAUUGCCGGGUUCCGGCUCGGCUUUCAACGCGACCCCAGGUCAGGUGGGGUUACCCGCUGAAUUUAAGCAUAUCAAUAAGCGGAGGA
rnacentral:misc_RNA from 1 species